GAUUCGUCGUUCUUAGCGGCCACCCCGUUCAACUACGGCGCUGGGCACGUCCGCCCCAACCUCGCCAUGGAUCCAGGCCUUGUCUACGACCUCACGGUGGAGGACUACCUCUUGUUUCUCUGCGCUCUCGGGUACUCUUCUAGUCAGGUUGCCAUCUUCUCCGAGGCGCCCUUCUCUUGCCCGAAAAGUCCUCCCAAGCUCCUGGACUUCAACUAUCCCUCCAUCUCCGUCCCGCGGCUCUCCGGUCGGACGACCGUCACCAGGAAGGUGAAGAACGUCGGCGCGCCAGGUACAUACAAUGCCCGCGUGGUACCGCCGCCGGGCGUCUCCGUGAAGGUGAAUCCGGAAAGAAUCAUCUUCAAAAGGGUCGGAGAGGUGAAGAAGUUCAAGGUCACGAUAGAGGCCGAGAGAGGCGCGGCGGUGUUCGAAUACCUCUUCGGGAGGUUGACCUGGUCUGACGGGGUCCACAACGUCGGAAGCCCCCUAGUGGUCUGGGUCCUGCCGAACGACCGGUGAAAAACUUCAGCUACGCUGUAUUGCUCAGGAAACUUCACGUACGAUAUGCUAAUAAGAGUAAAUUACGGAAUCCCAUGUUUAUUAACAACAGAUAAUCUCUCUUUGACCCGUUAAACGGAAACAUCACGAACAAUAUAGCUGGACCAUAUAUGGAUGAAUGAUUUCAUUGAGUUUGCAUUAGAUUUGUUUUGAUUAACCCAUAAAAGUCCUUUGCGUUGUUUCCAACUUAUCGUAAAAGUCGGACAGAAGUAAUUUGCAUUGCAUGUCUAAGGCUAACCUAGUUGAAGGUGUUCAAGUAUAACCAAUUGACUUGGACUACACCUGUUAUGAAAGUUCCUUGAUUAUGAAAAGUCAUGUGAACCACCUGAUGUCACAUUUAAAUGUGGUCGAAUAAUGGAGAUGAAGGAAUCAUAGAUUUGAAACCUAAAAAGGGAGUAUAAAGGCUUCCAACUUGAGUGAAGCUGUAAUCACUGGAUAUUAAAAAUAUUUCAUCAUAAGAGCAUCAUAAGUUUUAACUUAUUUAGGUAAGCUAGAUUCACUAGCCUUGGUCAAUGAUGAUGGCUAAGAAGUACUAGACGUUAAAUUCCAAUAUUAUCCAGAAUUAUAAACUAUACAUGAGCUUGAAUUGUCUUUGAAUCCUGUACAAGACUUUGGGUGACCCCAGUUUGGUGGAAGAUGCAGUCUUUAGUGAUUAAACUAAUUCAAGUGCAAGUGUAUUACUUAGGCCAAUUAUUCUACGCUAAAAUAAUUAUGCAUGGUGUAUGGACAUGGUAAAGAUAAAGUUUACUGAAAUAAUCCAGAUUGAGGAGGGGCACAAUAAAGUCAGGUUUAAAUUUGGCAUCUGGAAUGGCAAGCAAUAAUUCAAAGAUUAUUUGCCAUAUGAGAUACCAAGCUUGUUACCCCUCUUCCUAGUCACUUUAAGUUUUUAACUUUCUUCUCACUACAGUCUUCAAAAGAAUAAAAAUAUAUGUUUUAUGUUUUGACCAGGGUAAUAGGUGGUAUGAUGUAUGUCACGGUCUGCACCAAUCAUGAUAUAUUAUUGUGGGUGAAAAUUAUAGCUUACCUAAUUAAAGAACAAUAGCAUAUUGUAAAGUAAAUUUUCCUAUACUCUAUAUAAUACUGACUCAUGUUCAGAAUUUUUUAGAAUUAUUGAUACUUUGACAAGAGUUGUUAAUUCAAAUUUUAUAUUAAAUAUUGAAAAAGGAGGCCACUCACUACAUCACUACUUUGAUUGCAUUCUUGUUGGAGAAAAACUUACUUUUCAACUUACUAUUUCUUCUCCACUCCAAAAGUAGAUUUUUUGAAAAUUAUAGAGGUGAUAUAAGAAGUUAUGGUUAAAUUUUUUUGUGUGAAUUUAAUGCAUGUAAAAAAAUCACUAUUUUCCAUUUUGAUAAUUAAAGUGCUAUUCAUUUAGCUAAAUAUCAGAUAUUGAUGCAAGAUCCCAUUUAUUGGCAAAAUUAUUUCAAAGAUAAAAAAAUAUUAUGUAGAAAACUACUAGUGAAAAUAAUCAAAUUAACAUAUUAUCAAAUUAAUAUGUUGAUCGAGCAAAGGAAGAUAUCAAUAAGAUGACUUUUUUAACUAACUAGGACAGGGAUAAGACCACAUCUAUGUGAAAAAAAAUCCAUAAUUCGCAUAUUUCUUGGAUUAAUUCAUUCUAAACGACGUCUUUAACCUGAAAUCUAGAAAAGUAUGUUCAAGAUUAACCAUUUAAACUAUAAAUCCUUGAUGUAUAAUUUUUUUACACUUUUAUACAAUCUUUGUACUUCAAAUAUUCUUUAAUUAUACACAAAUAUAUGAAAUUUUUAGCCUAUAAUUGUCUCUUUUCAGAAUAUUUUGAAAAUAUGUGUUAAUUUCUAAGGGACUUUUAGGUCUAUCAAGUAAGCCCAUUAAGAGACCCAAUAAGAGGCUCUUUGGAUCAAUUUAAUUAAUUAUAGUAAGAUGACUUGAAGAGAGAGAAAUGGUAGAGAAAUGGAAUCUGUCUUCUCACUAAAAGUCACAAUUUCUUAACAUUUUGAUUCCUAGCUGGUCAAAAUUAAUUCUAGAUCUAAUUUGAGCAUUAAAACUUUUGAUUUAGGACAAAAAAGGGGGAUCCCUCAUGCUCCUGAUGAGUGACAUCCAGCAGUGUUUUCCUGUUCAUUUGUAGAUAUUUUUUUCUUUUCUGCGAUUUAAAUAUUAUUUUAAUUCAUUAUAAAAACAAAUUAUGCAUUCAUCUAGGUGAUAGGUAGAUAUAUCGUUAGAGUAAUCGAUUUCUAGUGUUUUCAUUUAUGAUUUUUCUUGAAGUCAUUUGUCUAUUCAUCCUCAAUGUCACAAGGAGAAAAAUUCUGAUUUUUGAUCAUUGUUCUGACUGGUGCUUGAUGUUUUCAAGUUCAUAGUGGUUCCAUUUUCAUUUGCGAACUGAAUUAUGUAUCAAAAAAUAAUUAACUCGCACUAUAUUUUGAAUUCAUUUGUUCAUCUCAUCCUCUGUGUUGGAGAGAGAUUUUUUUUAUUAAUAUAGUUAAAUUAAUUUUCUUAAUACUCUGUACUGUUGGAUUCGUUCUAAAUUCAUUUCUGACUCCUAUUCCCUCCAUUUUUUCACCUAAUUUGAUGUCAUUUUCCUUAACACAGUUUGUUUCUUUGCUUUUCGGUCCUCUCACUAGUAGUAUUUUCUCUCUCUUUAUGAUUUCUUCUUCCUCUUUCUUUUUUCUCUCCCUUUCCGUUUUUUUGUUAUCUAUAGGUUGCAUUCUUACAUUCCUUUAUUAAUUCUUGGAUAUUGAAAGAAAAACUUAGCAUUCAAAAGGGAGGAGGAGAGCUAAUCGUCUUACUCACAGCUGAUUGAACACAAAAAAUCCUAUCUACUCCCCUUUUUAUUUGUUUCUUUCCUCUAUUACUUAGAUGUAAAUUUAUUUAGGAAAUGCCAAAAAUUAUCCCCAAAUUUGUCAUCUUCCUUAUGAAACUGACUUGAACUUACUGCAACUACUUGGUUUAGUUUCAUAUGAAUUCAACUUUAUAAAUAUUUAAACUAACAUUUCUUAAUAGAACAACUAAGAGACAAUCAAGAGGCCCCCCUAAACUUUUCCCCAGCUUUUUGUAUUAUUCUAGGGCCUAGUUUCAGAUAAGAAACCAGAUCUUCACCUUUGUAUCAUAGAUAUUAUAAGCAAACUCAAAGAAAUAAAGAAAGGUGAGAGAAAAGUUUGAGAUGGAAACCUUUUCUAGAUUAAAAAAUUUGAGUAGUGGGCUCAAGACUUAGCGUGUUGACUUCGUACAUCUAUUUCUUACGGGGACAGAAAAGACUAGAUUGAGUAGUUUAAGAAAACAUCUUGACGUAGGAUACCCGUGUAUGUAAUAAAUCAAAAAAUAUUUUAUAGCAUAAGAUGAAGAUCAAAGAUCAACCAAACAUGGAAUGGUGGCUUUAUUAUGAUCACUCCCAUGACCAUAACAAGAAAAUACAUUAAAGGAACAAAUAAAAUAGAGAAACUACAAAAGAUAUACUUGAGCCCUCACAAAUAAAAGGUGACCGUUGACCAACUUAUUGACCGUUGAUUUUUGACGGACCGACUAGGUCGAACCAGGUGGCUCGAAUCAGGAGGGCAAUAUGGUUCGAACCGCGUGGCUUGGGUCGGUUCUGAUCGGGCGGCUCGACUGGGUUGGGACCCAAUGAGGUGGACCCUUGCGGUUUGAAGGAGGUGGGCCGUUUAAGCCGGGAAGUCGGGAGCGGGAGAGAGGCGAAUCGGGCGGCGGCAGCGAGAGAGGUGAUGAAGGUCGGCGAUGGCGAACGGUGGAUGGUUGCUGACGGCGGCAGCGAACGACGGCGGCGAAUGAUUGCGAAAGUGGUGGCGGACGAUGGUGACAGUGGGCGGCGGUUCGGUGGCUUGUGGCAACAGGAAGGGCACGGCGAAGGUAGUGCGGCGGAAGCAGGGAUGGCGGUGGUGGUAGACUGCGGCUGAAAACGAUGGCGGGCGACUGCGGUUGUGAUAGAGGUUGGACGAGCCGGCGGUGGAAAGAGGAAAAACAAUGGCAGAGGUGAGAGAAUUGGGAGAGAAGUGGCAGGGAGGGGGGACGGGCUCCAGACCCGGAGCGGCGGGGUCCUCCGACCAACCCAAGCGGAGGGCCUGGAGGUGGCCAGGUUAAUCGAAUAGUCUAUUAUCGCUUCAAAUAAUCGAUUUUCGGCACUUGAAUAGUCCAAGGAUUUUCAACAAAAUUCAUGGCAGAACUCUCUCUCUCUAUCGCCUUUGCCCAGAGAAUUUCCCCGCAAUUCAUCCUACAUGUGAUGGGAUAUGAUACGAAAGCAUUAUGAAGUCAAGAACAAAGGUAGGCCAGGACAAUGAACGGUGGGGAGGAAGGCCCAUGGACGACGAGGGUCGCUGUGCUGCGAGAACCUUCGCCAUAGUGCUGGAGACGAACAUGAAUUUGGACAUGCCAUGGUUUCUGCUUGUCCCACCGCUGCCGCGCAGCCCGCCUCCGUUGCUGAUUGGAAGGGCGCUCGUCAUAUGAAAGGGUUCGCUCUAUCGCAACGUGCAGACGAGGACCCUCAUCCGAGCUCAUGAAAGAGCCCCGGAAUGGCGUAGGACUUAGAUAAAUUACACCUAGACUCAUGUCGGUCGGAGCCGAGACAGUGACCGGUGGUCGAAGAGAGCCGAAAAUGGUGGCCCGAGAAGCCACAUGUGCACAUGCAGCUAGUUCUUUCCCGCCUUGGAGAGACUUGACUCCAUUAUUACAGUCGAAGAUAUCACCAACCACGUCUCUAGAUCCAACACCUAGUCUUCCCCACCGUAGGCGUCUCUCGCCGAGUGGAGCCGGUGGACGUUGACAUCCUCCGUCUGCUCUUCAUUUGCAGGAUCGUGAUCUAUUCUCCAUAAAGGAUGAGAUUCCCUCACCGCCAUCCGGGAGAGAACGGGAGGGCGAGGAGAAAAGGUGAGAGAGAGAGAGAGAGAGAGAGAGGAAUGGAGGGAGGAGGAAGGCGAGCUCCGGGGAUGGGUUUCUCGCGGAGGAUUCCUCUCUCUAUCCUCUGGCUUCUUCUCUGCGCCCUGUCGCAGAGGCCAGCCGCGGCCGUGAGGAAGGUCGGCACUGCGGCCUCCUGCUUUUGCUUUGUUCCCUCUCUUGCUGGGAAUCUGAUUCUCUCUCUUUCAUCUGCAGUCCUACAUCGUGUACAUGGGGAGCCAUUCUCGCAGCGGGGAAGAAGCCUCCCUGGCCCGGACGGAAGAGGUGGAGGCCGCCCACCACGUCUUCCUGGGAUCCUUCUUGGGCAGGUGACAGAUACAUUCGCCGGCCACGCCGCAUACCCUCUUUUUCCGGAGAAUCGGUCCGACGCCUAUCUUCGCAUUUUUCAGCGAAGAGGCGGCGCAGGGGGCCAUCUUCUACUCUUACUCGAGGUUCAUCAAUGGUUUCGCGGCAAUGCUCGAAAAUGAGGAGGUCGCCGAGAUUUCGAGUGAGAUCACUCUCUCUCUCUCUCAUUCUCUCUCUCUCUCUCUCCCACUCUUUCUCCACCUUCCUCCAUCUUCCUCUUCGCCUCUUCAGCUCUAGUCCUCCUUUCCCGUCACCGCAGAGUCGCCGGCGGUCUUGGCGGUGUUCCCCAACGAGGGACGGCAGCUGCACACGACCCGUUCCUGGAACUUCCUUGGUCUGGAGAGCGGCGGCGGUGUGGUUCCGGAGGACUCCAUAUGGAAGAAGGCCAGAUUCGGGAAGGACACCAUCAUCGGAAACAUUGACUCCGGUACUUUCGCCCCCAAUCUCUCUCUCUCUCUCACUCUCGGUUCUCAUUGAUCUCCACCGGCGGCAGGGGUGUGGCCGGAGUCCGCCAGCUUCGACGACAGCAACUUGGGGCCCGUCCCGGCAAGGUGGAAGGGCGCCUGCGACCACGGCGCCGACCGGAGCUUCUCCUGCAACAGGUGAAUCUGACCCUCCCUCUCGCUCACGCCCUGCGUCCGUGGACGCGGGCCGCCUUGGAGAGGCAGUAUCCUAUUUCUCUUUAUUAAAUGAAUAGAUUGAUUCCAGCUAUUGUGACUGUGACAGUGGUCAACGCUGACGUAGCUUAUUUUCUUAAGUUAUCUGUCCAUGGAACGAUCUUGAGCUAGUUACUUCAGUAUGAAUAAUAUAGAGCCCUAGAAGGGAUCGAUCUGGAACACACGAUACUGUGAACGGUGAACAGUGAACUAAUGAACGGUGAGAUUUCUGUGGUCCAGGAAGCUUAUAGGGGCGAGAUACUUCAAUAAGGGGUUCGCGGCGGCCGUUGGGCCCAUUGACGCCAAGCUGAACAGUCCCCGAGACAUUGAAGGCCAUGGGACACACACCUUGUCCACGGCCGGCGGCAGCUUCGUGCCGGGGGUCAACGUGUUCGGCCUCGGGAACGGCACGGCCAAGGGAGGGGCGCCCAGCGCCCGGGUGGCGGCGUACAAGGUCUGCUGGACGUCGGGCAGUGGCGGCGGCUGCUUCGACGCGGACAUUCUCGCCGCCAUCGACGCCGCCAUCCACGACGGCGUUGACGUGCUCUCCGUCUCCCUCGGCGGGAACCCCGGCGACUACGCCGUCGACCCGCUGGCCAUCGGGUCGUUCCACGCCGUGAAGAAUGGGAUCACCGUCAUCUGCUCCGCCGGCAACUCCGGCCCCGAACCGGGGUCAAUAUCGAACGUCGCCCCGUGGAUCUUCACGGUCGCUGCCAGCACCAUGGACAGGGCGUUCCCCUCCGCCGCCGUCCUCGGCAACGGGGCAGCGCUCAAGGUAUCCUCUUCUUCCUUCCUUCCGUCGUCUUUUGCCGGAUCUCACCAUGCCGUCGUCUUCUUCUCGCAGGGGGAGAGUCUCUCGGCGGCGAGCCUCCCGGCGGGGAAGCUCUAUCCAGUGAUCAGCUCCGCCGCCGCGCGGGCCGUCAGCUCGAACCUCACCGCAGCGUAACGACGACCGCAGCCCUCCCUUCCUCUCUUAAUCGUCGUCUUGGUGGUGUUCCGAUUGGGAGUGACGGAGGACUUUGGGGGGGGGGAUUCUUGCAGGCAGCUCUGCUUCUUGGGCUCUCUAGACCCGAAGAUGGUGAAGGGGAAGAUUGUGGCGUGCCUCCGGGGGAUCAACGGGAGGGUGGAGAAGGGACAGACGGUGCUCCUCGCCGGUGGCGCCGGCAUGAUCCUCGCGAACUCGGAAGCCCAGGGUAACGAAGUCGUCGCAGACGCCCACCUCCUCCCUGCCGUCCACCUCAGUUAUCAGAAGAGCAUCGCUCUCUACAAGUAUUUAAACUCCACAAGGUGAGCAGCUUGAGAACCUUAUUCGGAGUUCUUUCUGAUCUCAUCACCCGAUGCCCUCUGAAGAGGCUGGUUUGGCUGCAGCAACCCCGUGGCCACCAUCACCGCGCCCACAACCGCGACAAAUAUCAAGCCAUCGCCUUUCAUGGCUGCCUUCUCCUCUCAAGGCCCCAACCUCAUCAACCAAGAGAUCCUGAAGGUUUUCUCCAUUUGCCAUCGUACUCUCUCUCUCUCUCUCUCUCUCUCUCUCUCGUCCNNNNNNNNNNNNNNNNNNNNCCUACUUGUUCCACUCUACUCUCUCUCUCUCUCUCUCUCUCUCUCUGUGUCCCCUCCCCUCCCUUUCUCCCUAAUUGUCUCUAUACUUAUGUUCGCUCCCUUAACUUUUCAAUGCGUGGCAGCCGGAUAUCACCGCGCCCGGGGUCAGCAUCAUCGCGGCCUACAGCGAAGCUGCGAGUCCAACGGGCCUGGACUUUGACAAGCGGAGGGCACCUUACGUCACUGAUUCAGGAACGUCGAUGUCUUGCCCACACAUCUCCGGGAUCGCUGGCCUCCUCAAAACCCUGCACCCCGACUGGAGCCCGGCUGCGAUCAAGUCCGCCAUUAUGACCACCGGUAGGUUUCUAGCCAGCACUGAAUGAAAGGUUGCCCCAUUUUGCAACAACUAAUCUGUUUCUGUUUACUCGUCCGCAGCGACGACCGAAGAUAAUCUGGGGAAGCCCAUUCUGGAUUCGUCGUUCUUGGCGGCCACCCCGUUCAACUACGGCGCUGGGCACGUCCGCCCCAACCUCGCCAUGGAUCCGGGCCUUGUCUAUGACCUCACGGUGAACGAUUACCUCAUGUUUCUCUGCGCCCUCGGGUACAACUCCAGUCAGGUCGCCAUCUUCUCCGAGACGCCCUUCCCUUGCCCGAAGAGUCCUCCCAAGCUUCUGGACUUCAACUACCCCUCCAUCACCAUCCCGCGGCUCUCCGGUCGGACGACCGUCACCAGGAAGGUGAAGAACGUCGGCGCGCCAGGAACAUACAAAGUCCGAGUGGAACUGCCGCCGGCCAUCACCGUGAAGGUGAAUCCUAAGAGAAUCGUGUUCAAAAGGGUCGGCGAGGUGAAGGAGUUCAAGGUCACGAUAGAGGCCGAGAGAGGCGCGGCGGUGUUUGAAUACCUCUUCGGAAAGUUGAC
rnacentral:lncRNA from 1 species